GAAGAACGAGGGAGGCGUGCUUAACACAUGCAAGUCGAACGAAAAGAGGGAAAGAGCUUGCUCUUUCCGGAAUUGAGUGGCGAACGGGUGAGUAACACGUAAACAACCUGCCUUCAGGAUGGGGACAACAGACGGAAACGACUGCUAAUACCGAAUAAGUUCCCAGAGCCGCAUGGCCCCUGGCCGCCCCGGUGGCCUCUACCUGUCCGCUAUCGCCUGAAGAGGGGUUUGCGUCUGAUUAGCUGGUUGGAGGGGUAACGGCCCACCAAGGCGACGAUCAGUAGCCGGUCUGAGAGGAUGAACGGCCACACUGGAACUGAGACACGGUCCAGACUCCUACGGGAGGCAGCAGUGGGGAAGCGGCCGCAAGGGGCGAAAGCCGGACGGAGCAACGCCGCGUGAGUGAUGACGGCCUUCGGGUUGUAAAACUCUGUGAUCCGGGACGAAAAGGCAGAGGGCGAAGAACAAACUGCAGUGACGGGACCGGAAAAGCAAGCCACGGCUAACUACGUG
rnacentral:rRNA from 1 species